GAUCAUGGCUCAGGACGAACGCUGGCGGCGUGCCUAAUACAUGCAAGUCGGAACGAGAGCGACCGGUGCUUGCACUGGUCAAUCUAGUGGCGAACGGGUGAGUAACACGUGGGUAACCUGCCCAUCCAGGAGGGGGAUAACCAUUCGGGAAAACGGAUGCUAAAACCCGCAUAGGUUCUUCGAACCGCAUGGGUUUGAAGAGGAAAAGAGGCGCAAGCUUCUGCUGAUGGAUGGACCCGCGGUG
rnacentral:rRNA from 1 species